UACGGAGGAUCCGAGCGUUUAUCCGGAUUUAUUGGGUUUAAAGGGUGCGUAGGCGGCCUAUUAAGUCAGGGGUGAAAGACGGUAGCUUAACUAUCGCAGUGCCUUUGAUACUGAUGGGCUUGAAUGUACUUGAGGUAGGCGGAAUGUGACAAGUAGCGGUGAAAUGCAUAGAUAUGUCACAGAACACCAAUUGCGAAGGCAGCUUACUAAAGUAUGAUUGACGCUGAGGCACGAAAGCGUGGGGAUCAAACAGG
rnacentral:rRNA from 1 species